GGGCUGAAUCCAAAAAAGGGAAGAUUGACAUCCAGAGUGUUUGGAAAGUGGGACCAUAAGAGAAUAGUGUGUGUGUGUGUAUGUGUGUGCAUACGUGUGUGUCGGAGGCUGUGUGGCUUCUCCUAACUUUACCAUGCAGAAGUCAAGGAAACGGUUACAGAGGCAAAAUGUGGGAGUAGCUAAUGGCAAUGGCCCAGAGAGAUGAAAAAAUGUGGGAAAACCAAAACUUGGAGGUAGGAACUUUCCGCUUCUUUUGGAGUACACAGAGGUGACUUAAGUAGGAAAAGAACGCAUAGCCAGUAACUCUCCCAACAGAAUUGGACUGGUGCCUGGGGUGAUUCAGAAUGUCCAGUUAAGCUGAGAAAUACUGAUUCCACGGAUCCCCUUCAUUCACUCAGAGCAGACAGAAGACCAUGAGACUUCCUACCCACAGUGAGCUAAAAGGACACUUCUGUCAGAGUGGGGAAAUAAAAGGGCUUUAUGGGAAAGAAGAUAAGAACAGAUGAGUCAGAGGUUUCUGUUUAAUGGUGGUAGAGCCAAGCAGACAGGCUAGUGGCCAUAUUGCUGCUGCCUCAUGUGGGAACCAGCAGGCUGGAGGGUUAUCAGUCCUCACGUGGGACCCUCCCACCAUGGCAGCUGAGCCCACCCAAGCUGGGGGAUCCUGAAGAGACCUUCACCUGGGUGCCACGUGGAAGAUUGGUCCCUACCAUUUUGGCUGCUGUGGAUGGUGAUUUAUGAGAGCAGUCCUAUCAGAAGAAGAGGUGGGAGAGAAGCAGGAUGGAACAGAGGAAGAAAACUAAGCAAGUGUGUGGAUACUGUCUUCAGCUUGGACCCACAGGGAGCACUGGAGCAUAAAUUAUACCACAGACUUUGUUUCCGUUUGAGGCUGGUGGGAUGGCCCUUUGUACCCCAGAGAGGGUGCAGAACUUCCUGAAGGAGUUGACUCCAUUUGGUUGAGAACAUGUAAUUAUUUAGAGAAGGAGCAGCUAACUCUCACAGCGACUGAGGCAGGGUGCACUGACCAGGGCAGAGCACCAACGGUGAACCAAUGCCACCCAGACCUCAUGGGGGAAGGGUGGGGAUAACCUGGGGCCAGAUCAGAACUGGGUGGAGGUGGGACACAGCAGGACGGGAGGAGCAGAACCGAGAGGGUCUGUGUUUCCUGUGUACCCUGGAAGCACAAGUCUGGGUUCUCUGAGCCUCAGGCAGCACUGACCUUUCUUCCCCAUCUGGACAUGAGAAGGACAGGCCAAGCCCUUUCCUCAGCACUUUUUUUUUUUUUCUUUUUGAGUUGGAGUCUUGCUCUGUCACCCAGGCUGGAGUGCAGUGGUGUGAUCUCGGCUUGCUGCAACCUCUGCCCCCUGG